AUCCAGCUGAUGAGUCCCAAAUAGAACGAAACGCACGUCUUGGAU
rfam:Schistosoma haematobium scaffold1640_10, whole genome shotgun sequence.